rnacentral:rRNA from 1 species
UACGUAGGGUGCAAGCGUUGUCCGGAAUUAUUGGGCGUAAAGAGCUCGUAGGCGGUUUGUCGCGUCUGCUGUGAAAACUCGGGGCUUAACCCCGGGCCUGCAGUGGGUACGGGCAGACUAGAGUGCGGUAGGGGAGACUGGAAUUCCUGGUGUAGCGGUGAAAUGCGCAGAUAUCAGGAGGAACACCGGUGGCGAAGGCGGUUCUCUGGGCAUUACCUGACGCUGAGGAGCGAAAGUGUGGGGAGCGAACAGG